UACAGGGGGGUGCAAACGUUUGCUCGGAAUCAUUGGGCGUAAAGCGCCACGUAGGCGGUUUGUUAUGUCGGAUGUGAAAGCCCUUGGCUCAACUGAGGAAGUGCAUCCGAAACUGGCAAGCUAGAGUACUAAAGAGGGUCGCGGAAUUCCCGGUGUAGAGGUGAAAUUCGUAGAUAUCGGGAGGAACACCGGUGGCGAAGGCGGCGACCUGGGUAGAUACUGACGCUGAGGUGCGAAAGCGUGGGGAGCAAACAGG
rnacentral:rRNA from 1 species